CCUACGGGUGGCAGCAGUUAGGAAUAUUGGUCAAUGGGCGCUAGCCUGAACCAGCCAAGUAGCGUGAAGGAUGACUGCCCUCUGGGUUGUAAACUUCUUUUAUAUGGGAAUAAAGUACAGUAUGUAUACUACUUUGAAUAUACCCUAUGUAUAAGGAUCGGCUAACUCCGGGCCAGCAGCCGCGGUAAUACGGAGGAUCCGAGCGUUAUACGGAUUUAUUGGGUUUAAAGGGAGCGUAGGCGGGUUGUUAAGUCGGUUGUGAAAGGUUGCGGCUCAACCGUAGGAUUGCAGUUGAUACUGGAAUCCUUGAGUACAGGAGAGGUAGGCGGAAUUCGUGGUGUAGCGGUGAAAUGCGUAGAUAUCACGAAGAACACCGAUUGCGAAGGCAGCCUGCUGGACUGUAACUGACGCUGAUGCUCGAAAGUGUGGGUAUCAAACAGGAUUAGAUACCCGGGUAGUC
rnacentral:rRNA from 1 species